rnacentral:lncRNA from 10 species
UUGAUUCUAUAAACAGCAACUAUAAACACAUAAAUACAGAAGAAUGAACCUCGGAGUCCUGAAAACACUGCCACUAUGAAACUAUGAAAAAGGAGACAGCGAAAUAGACUUGUCAUCCUGUGCAGUUUUUUGUAGAGACAAGUUCUCACUAUGUUACCAAGGCUGGUCUUGAACUCCUGGCUUCAAGUGAUCCUCCUGCCUCAGCCUCCCAAAGCACUGGGAUUACAGGUCUCUUACUAAAGCUUCCUGUUCAAAGUCUGGCUGAGAAUUUUUGCUGCUUCUUUCCCUACCUCCUCAUUUCCGAAGGAGGUACCUUUCUGGCUUCUCUGUUGAACAUUUCCUAAAUAAAGUGUGGAUGAAAAGCAAUAGAGGAAGGAAAUGCAGAAAAUUAUAAGGCUGAAAUAGAAACUGGCCACAGCAGAGAUUAAAGGCCCUUCCUGGGUUAGCUGAUGCUCACCUACAUUGAUGAGGACAAUCUUUGUUUAGUUUGCUGAUUCAAUUGCUCACCUCUUCUGGAAACACCUUCACAGACUCACCAGAAAUAAUGUUUUACCAGCCAUCUGGGCAUCUGUUAGCCCAGUCAAGUUGACACUUAAAAUUAACCACCAC